rnacentral:rRNA from 1 species
GACGUAGGGCGCGAGCGUUGUCCGGAUUUAUUGGGCGUAAAGAGCUCGUAGGCGGCUUGUCGCGUCGUUCGUGAAAACUUGGGGCUCAACCCCAAGCUUGCGGUCGAUACGGGCAGGCUGGAGUUCGGUAGGGGAGACUGGAAUUCCUGGUGUAGCGGUGAAAUGCGCAGAUAUCAGGAGGAACACCAAUGGCGAAGGCAGCUCGCUGGGACGGUACUGACGCUGAGACGCGAAAGCGUGGGGAGCGAACAGG